rnacentral:rRNA from 1 species
UAACACGUGGAUAACCUACCUAUAAGACUGGGAUAACUUCGGGAAACCGGAGCUAAUACCGGAUAAUAUUUUGAACCGCAUGGUUCAAAAGUGAAAGACGGUCUUGCUGUCACUUAUAGAUGGAUCCGCGCUGCAUUAGCUAGUUGGUAAGGUAACGGCUUACCAAGGCAACGAUGCAUAGCCGACCUGAGAGGGUGAUCGGCCACACUGGAACUGAGACACGGUCCAGACUCCUACGGGAGGCAGCAGUAGGGAAUCUUCCGCAAUGGGCGAAAGCCUGACGGAGCAACGCCGCGUGAGUGAUGAAGGUCUUCGGAUCGUAAAACUCUGUUAUUAGGGAAGAACAUAUGUGUAAGUAACUGUGCACAUCUUGACGGUACCUAAUCAGAAAGCCACGGCUAACUACGUGCCAGCAGCCGCGGUAAUACGUAGGUGGCAAGCGUUAUCCGGAAUUAUUGGGCGUAAAGCGCGCGUAGGCGGUUUUUUAAGUCUGAUGUGAAAGCCCACGGCUCAACCGUGGAGGGUCAUUGGAAACUGGAAAACUUGAGUGCAGAAGAGGAAAGUGGAAUUCCAUGUGUAGCGGUGAAAUGCGCAGAGAUAUGGAGGAACACCAGUGGCGAAGGCGACUUUCUGGUCUGUAACUGACGCUGAUGUGCGAAAGCGUGGGGAUCAAACAGGAUUAGAUACCCUGGUAGUCCACGCCGUAAACGAUGAGUGCUAAGUGUUAGGGGGUUUCCGCCCCUUAUGCUGCAGCUAACGCAUUAAGCACUCCCGCCUGGGGAG